rnacentral:rRNA from 1 species
CGAACGGAAGUUUAAGCAAUUAAACUUUAGUGGCGAACGGGUGAGUAACGCGUAAGAAAUCUGCCCCUAAGACGAGGAUAACAGUUGGAAACGACUGCUAAGACUGGAUAGGAGACAAGAAGGCAUCUUCUUGUUUUUAAAAGACCUAGCAAUAGGUAUGCUUAGGGAGGAGCUUGCGUCACAUUAGUUAGUUGGUGGGGUAAAGGCCUACCAAGACUAUGAUGUGUAGCCGGGCUGAGAGGUUGAACGGCCACAUUGGGACUGAGACACGGCCCAAACUCCUACGGGAGGCAGCAGUAGGGAAUUUUCGGCAAUGGAGGAAACUCUGACCGAGCAACGCCGCGUGAACGAUGAAGUAUUUCGGUACGUAAAGUUCUUUUAUUAGGGAAGAAUAAAUGAUGGAAAAAUCAUUCUGACUGUACCUAAUGAAUAAGCCCCGGCUAACUAUGUGCCAGCAGCCGCGGUAAUACAUAGGGGGCAAGCGUUAUCCGGAAUUAUUGGGCGUAAAGGGUGCGUAGGCGGUUAAAUAAGUUUAUGGUCUAAGUGCAAUGCUCAACAUUGUGAUGCUAUAAAAACUGUUUAGCUAGAGUAAGAUAGAGGCAAGUGGAAUUCCAUGUGUAGUGGUAAAAUGCGUAAAUAUAUGGAGGAACACCAGUAGCGAAGGCGGCUUGCUGGGUCUUUACUGACGCUGAGGCACGAAAGCGUGGGGAGCAAACAGGAUUAGAUACCCUGGUAGUCCACGCCGUAAACGAUGAGUACUAAACGUUGGGUAAAACCAGUGUUGAAGUUAACACAUUAAGUACUCCGCCUGAGUAGUACGUACGCAAGUAUGAAACUUAAAGGAAUUGACGGGACUCCGCACAAGCGGUGGAUCAUGUUGUUUAAUUCGAAGGUACCCGAAAAACCUCACCAGGUCUUGACAUGCUUCUGCAAAGCUGUAGAAACACAGUGGAGGUUAUCAGUUGCACAGGUGGUGCAUGGUUGUCCGUCAGCUCGUGUCGUGAGAUGUUGGGUUAAGUCCCGCAACGAGCGCAACCCUUAUUGUUAGUUACCAGCACGUAAUGGUGGGGACUUUAGCAAGACUGCCAGUGAUAAAUUGGAGGAAGGUGGGGACGACGUCAAAUCAUCAUGCCCCUUAUGACCUGGGCUACAAACGUGAUACAAUGGCUGUUACAAAGGGUAGCUGAAGCGCAAGUUUUUGGCGAAUCUCAAAAAAACAGUCUCAGUUCGGAUUGAAGUCUGCAACUCGACUUCAUGAAGUUGGAAUCGCUAGUAAUCGCGAAUCAGCAUGUCGCGGUGAAUACGUUCUCGGGGUUUGUACACACCGCCCGUCAAACCACGAAAGUUGGAAAUACCCAAAGCCGGUGGCCUAACUUCGCAAGAAGAGGGAACCGUCUAAGGUAGGUUCGAUGAUUGGGGUUAAGUCGUAACAAGGUAUCCCUACCGGAAGGUGGGGAUGGAUCACCUCCUUUCUA